rnacentral:lncRNA from 1 species
AUGGUUUUCACACCUGUGUGCUUUGAUUUUCCCAGGCUGUGGUCUGACACCUGUUUCCAAUAGUCUAAAGAACACCUUCUCUAGUCAAGCCUGGAAGCACUUCCAACCUCAGAUGCCCAUGAAAUGCAUGGAAGUUCUCAGGACUGAUACAUCCUGUAACCGUAAACAGAUGUAACCCCCUGCCUGUGACACCAGCAAAAACUACCUUCACACUGGACCUGUGGGGAGCCAUUUUGUUCUGUGGCACCAAGGUGAAGUGACAGGGAGGAGCUGCUGCCGGACUUAGGCACUCCUUCAAUGCACUGUAAUGGUUUUUCAUUUGUUGUGGGUUUUUAUUUUUUGAAACUCCC